UUCCUGAGAAUAACCAGGAAUAUAGCUGGCUCUGCCCCUACUAGGGACAUGUUCUUCAAUCGCACUAUCAUUCGUGAAAUAAGCUUUAGAUCUACCAAGAACUCGCACAUGCACUCCGAUCCCCAUCAACAAGGAGCAAGUAUCUCAGACCUGCUAAGAUGAAAAUAAGGAAAUAUAACCACAAACACGAAUAUUAGCCGUUGCAUCAACUUAACAAUCUGGUGAAUGACAGGCUACCAUACCGCAAGGUUUCACCAGCCUCACUAAUGACCACACUUGCAGGCUUAUGUUUCCACUUGUGAUUAUUGCAGUUUUUUUCAAAGAACCCUGGAUUAAACCUAACUCACCGCCCCCACCUCAUGGCAAUGGUGCCAGGAGUGCCACGGACGGGACCGCCACUGCACUACUCCGAUGGCUGCCUCCCCUGACCGCCUACAUGGCCCCAAGCUGGGCUGCUGCGGCGGACUGCCGCGACGUAACAGCCGCCUCUCAUGCCGCCCGCCUCAUUUCAGCUGCAUAGAGCCACCACCACACCUUGACCUCUUGUGCUGUUGCUGCUGUUUGUGUUGGGGCCUUUUGCCGGGUUGCCAUGCACCCCUACUGCAGCUAUCUUCUCUUGUGCGCCGGCCUGCAUCAAGAGAGAUGGCUAUGCUGCUUCACCCACCUUCCAUGCCGAGCCCGCUUGCACAACCGAGGCUGCUAUCUUGGCCAUGGCUGCUUGCCUCGCCUAUGCUUUGGAGACAACGAGUAGGAGGGAUGCUCAUAGAAGAGAUGAGAGAAGAAGGGAAAGAGAUACGUAAUAGAGAGAAGAGAAGUGAGGGGAAAAGAUAAGGGAGAAAGAACAGAAGUGAGGGGAAGUGAUAUGGAUCGGAAGAGAGGGUGUGGGUUCUUGUCACUAGUAGAGAAAUGACUUUCCAUCCACCCCUUUUGUCCCGGUUUAAAGUUGGCCCGGGACAAAAGGUUCACCAACCGGGACUAAAACUCGGUCACUGGUGGGGGGCUCACCAACCGGGACCUUUUAUCCCGGUUGCAAAGGCUAGUGGGAAAAAAAGACUCUGAGAGGCAUUUUAUCCCGGUUUGAAACACCAACCGGGAUAAAAGACCGGGUCUUUUAUCCCGGUUGGUGUUUCCAACCGGGAUAAAAGGGUCCCCCACGAGUUAAUACAAAAGGAUAGUAUCCCCUACAUAGUUAGAUGUGGUGUGUAGGUGGGAUGGCAAGGAAGCUACGCGUGAGGCUGGAGGUUGUGGGUUCGAAUCCCACGAACCGCGCACGCGCAUAUUUCGCGUGAAAAAUCGCGUGACUUGUGACUUGUGACUUGUGACUUGUGACUUGCGCGUGUGGGGGGGCCUCCUGGGAGCUCGGGAUUUUUUUUUUUGCAGCGCCGGCCGUGGGUGAACCCAACCGGGAUAAAAGGGGGUCUUUUGUCCCGGUUGAGUGACCCGGGAUAAAAGACCCCCCUUUUGUCCCGGUUGGUUUAUCCCGGAUGCAUUUUCGAGAUCUUUGCACCCUACCAACCGGGAUAAUAGGUGAGUUCUCCACCAGUGUGUUGACGCUCGUUAUUAACAUAUUUUUAGCCCUGUUUAUCUUCAAUAAUGACAUGAAUUGAAUACCUAAACUAUUGAUCACACCUAAUAAACCGGCUAUUUUCACACAUGCAACGUAUUUUGGAGGAUGUUGUGUUUUUGUAGGAAAUUAGGCCUAAAAGCAUAUUUUUUGGAUAAAGCACUGAAUGAGCAUCGAACCAGACGGAGAUGAAGGUCAUAGGGCCUAGGAAGGGGCUAGGCCGAUCGGCCUAGAGGAGCUCAGGACGAUCGGCUUGGCACCCUCUGGAAUCCUCUGGUGCUCAUCUUUGGCAACCAAACCUCCAAAGUUACUUAGGGGCUAUGUUUAGAAAGAUAUGGCAAGGACCAGCUCGGGAUCAAAGAGAAAUCGAAGAAGAUCAAGCGGAGAUUUGGAAAGUCAUUGAAGAUCAAUCUCAUCCUGAAGCUACCGACAUGCCAGGGCAACAUGCAAGUGAAAAGAAGAUUCCUGAGCACCUGAGAAGACUUGGAGACGAAGCAGGAUGCGAGAGGGCAAAAGGAAGGCACCCUCCUAGGUCAAUUGGCCUGGGGGUUUCCUUCGCCCCCUCGCCUUCCAAUUUUUUCCACGCACCCUCUGGACUAUAAAUACCGCCAAAAACCACCAAGCCCACAGAUUGGACAUGACGUAGUCGACGUGAAGCAGCAGAGAAGCAGAAGGAGCUUGAGGGACACUACUUCGGAGAGCGAGGAUCGUGCAGUUGCCAGGGGUUAGCGUAGGCGAGCCUCUCCCGGCGCAAUCACCCUAUGAGGGAGAUUACAAGGUGAUCACGUCAGAGUUCUGGAGCUAGGAGUCAUCAAAAUCAAGGUAGGAUCCCGGUGGUGAUCUUGUGAUGUACAAUCAUUCAUAGUGAAGUAAUAUAUGUGUUCAUAUUCUUAGCGAUCUAAGUAUCUCCUUCUACAGUUUUAUGCUCUAUUGGGUUUGCUUGCUUUUCAAUCUAUUAAUUGGAAAGAUUGCUUAGGAUGUUCUUGUGGUCAUGGUGAUUGGAUUUGCAUGCCUGAUCUACUAAUGACUAUAACAUGUUCUCUUGAUCGUGCCUUUAAUCUACCUAUGCUGAUAGAGGGGAUCAUGACAUGAUCUUUCUUGUGUAAGAUAAGGGGUUUCGGGAGCCGGAUCGGAGGUGUAGAUUUAAAGAUGAUUUUUACUAAGAUUAUAUCUGUGUUGUUUUGCUAUCUAUGCUCAGAAUUAUAAUAUAUGCAUAGUCUAGGUUGCUCUACAUUAGUUAUCUCUGCUCUAUCUAUUAUCUAUCUGUGCAUCUUUAGUAGAUUAUAUCUGGAUCACUCAUCAACACCAAGUCCAUACUAACAAUGCUAGUUAAAAUAGAUCUUGUGCUAUAAGUUCCAUGGAUUGAUAAACCUUAGGGGAGUACUAUGAGGAAAGAGCUACAACUUAUCCGUGCGCUUACCAUUCAUAACUUGAAAUGCUUACAGCUGUCAACAGCCCAUCACCACUGUUUGAAUUUCAAGGUCAUGCGGUGGCUAAAAUUUUCCAUUGACUUUAAGGUGCGGGCCAUAAGGUAUUUCGCCUCAAUUGUCAGAGGCAAACUAUUUCAGCUACUACUGUACUUGAGUCUGAAAGGUGGUAACGGAUAUGGAUGGCACAGGAGUUUUUGUAACAUUUAAUAUAUUGUUAUUAUUAUUUAAGAGAGCCUCUGAUUUUAGGCCAUUCCUAAAUAAUGUGUCGCAUGACCAAUUUUGCUGAAAUGAUAAAAUAUUUAUAAAGAAAGAGAAAGGAUCUCAUCACGAUAAAUUAGAUAUACAUAAUUUUCAAAACUAUGAAAUCUGUUGAAACUUCCACGAGGCUAGAGAGUUUUAUUUCAUCCUAUUGCAUCCAGUGAAAUAAAACCGUAUAUUUGAAGUCCUAUUUCACUUAUCAAUUCAAACCAUUUAUGUGAUGUGACACUCUUAGGAAUGGUGAAAUAAAAUUCUCCACCGAAAAUGAUCUUAAUUUCACCUCCGGUUCCCAAAUCCCAUGACCGGCCUGCCUGUAAUUUGCUAUUUGGGUAAGGACAAUGCAAAAAGGAGCUAUAAUAAUUGCUGUUGGUGAGCCAAUGAUGUACGACAAGGACAAAAUUCAGGAUAAAUCAUGGAUGGUGGAGGUCAAAAUCGAUCCAUUUCAUGUCCAAACUCUGCAGCCAUUGCAGUGAGGGAAAAUGAUCCACAAUUGUAGCCGUCUCCAAAGAUUAAUAAUAAAUAUAGGUCUAUGGAGAAUAGCCAUUAUAUUGCGGCUACCAGAGCCACCAAUGCAGGCUGCUUUAUUGCCACUCGCCAUCCCUGCUAUCCUCUCGACCUUCAAGUCUAUCUCUCUGCGUUGUUUAUUGGCUUCGUUUCUUCAGGUUUGUUAGAUAUUGCGUCGAAUAUUUGUCAUCAUGCCACAGAACAACAACCUCUCUAGCUAGGGUUGUUGUUCUCUAUGGCGUGGCAACACGCGGUGCGAGCUCAGGAUGCAGGUUUGCAUGGGAUGAGUUUGCGUGCUUCCAAAUUAGCAAGAGCGCGGAUCGAUUCGAGAUGUAUGUACGGGUUUCUAAAGCACGGAUCAAAAAGCACGAAGAUGCUUCAAGGGUUGAACUGAAAGGAAGUAUAGACGACGGAUAUAUGUACUUGCAAUUGGAGUAAUUUGAUUGGUCGUAGCUGCAGGAGACUAGGUGUAAGACGCCAAGUGUAGUAUGGUAGUGGUAACGCAAGAGCAAUGCUUACGUGGCAAUUCCGAUAUGUGACUCGCUAUCGAUUGUGAGGUUCUCAGUACCAUGUAUACAAUCAAUUGGAGCAUGGUGUUAGAUUUAGUUAGCUAAUAUUGCUAGAGAGGUAUCUAAUUUUGGUUGGUAAAGAUUGUGGUGAUGUGGAGGAACCUCCUAAAUUAACCUGGCUAAAGUGCACUUAAGUCGUCUAACACACGAUCAUGUACCUUAAAUAAGUCAACUUAGUCGUCCGUCGGAUUUCAUCCGAUAAACCACAUAUACAGGAUCAAGAAGCAUUGCUCACACGAAGGUGAGUGGUUACAAAGAUAACAUUCUGACCUCACUAACAUAAUUCACAGUUAUUACAUCAGAGUUUUUCAAAAUUCAGACAUAGUUUGCACGGUUUCAAACAACGAAGAAGUAAAAUAUGCGGAAGCUAAACGUCGAUAUAUGAUAUCAUGACAAAGUCGAUGAGGACAUCAAUGACCCCUGUCCUCACCAUCUGAGGAGGGAUCCCACUAAACCGUCCAACCCGGAGGGAGCUAGGUAAGCCAAGUAAUGCUAGCAGUCAAAACACUAACAUCCAAGCUACCUGAAAGUAAAGCCACAAGCAAGGCUGAAUAUACUAAUACUCAACUAGACUUACCCAUCGGGUGGCAACUACUCCACCGACUCCUAGACAUGCAAGGCUUUUUGGCUGGGGGUUUGUUUUGCCAAAUGCAACUAAAGUAGAUCCUUACUUUCAAAUUUUAGCAUCAGGUUCUAGUCGAUUAACCAUUAUUCUAGGUAAGCACCUAUUCUUCGUAAGCAUGUUGAGCAAACAUUUUAGUCAAGCAUCCUGAUCAUUAAAUAAUCAUUCUCUGUUCCACUUGUUACUCAGUGCAGAAUAGUAAUCAAGUAGUAUCAAACUGGUAGACAAUUCAAAUCGAGUUUCUUAACCUUGCAAUGUGAACCUAAUCCCACGACAUUACGUACCACCACGGGUCCACACAUAUCAACCGUCUCCAUCAAUUCCCAAGCACGUGGCUAGGGCCCACUUCCCUUGGAUACAAGGCCCCACGGUCCCGGAACAUUGCCGUACCAUGACUGCACUUGUACCCAUACGAUGCAUGAGGGGAACUCCAUUCCAGAGAGAGCGGGGAGUAUGCCCACGUCCUAGUUCAAUUAGGUAAUAGGCUUCCCUAUUCCAUACUAGGUAUGAGAUUAGUACUUUCAAAUACUUGACCACGAAUGCCGAUACAUUACGACCUUAACAGCUUUCUUCUAGAUAGACGGGGCAAUCCAGCAAUCCACCAAAAUAGAACAUAUAGCCCAGCCCCGCCCGUCAAUCCUUAUGAUUCCAACAUAAGUAAACAAGCAACUCCUAUAACUCGCAAGUGACAGGAAAUUGCUUGACUUUUACCGAGUUCCUAUUUAGCAUUAUAACUACUCGUCUUAACAUACUAGUAUUCAGCACAUAGGUACCUAGGGGCAUGCAACUAGGGUUUCAAGCAACUCUUAUAAACUUAAUGCACAAACAUAACUAGCAUAAGUAGUGCAUAAAUUUAGAAAAACUGGGUUAUGCUCCAGGGUUUGCUUUCCUGAAUUAUGUUAGUGGGGAGCUCGUUGGAUGCUUCGCUGAUCUCCUGCUCGGCCUCGACGUGGUGGAGCUCGGCAGAUCCUUCCUCCUCAGCAGGCGUCAGCUCGUACGUUUCGUCUGCGAGAUUUGUUUCUACACAAGAUGCAUAUGCAAUAGUUCAAUUUUUCAUACUUUCACACGCAGGAUGCAAAACAUGAAUUAUUGUUGAAGUGUAAAUUGCAUUUCGACCACAUUCACCUAAACAAGGUUCUAAACUUUCAUUAUCUUCAUGAAGUAAGGUGUGUUGUGGUAUAAAACUCGGGGUUGACUUUGAUGGUGAUUGUGUACACAUAUAAGAUUUUACAAUUUAGACUUCAUAAAGAAAGGUGGGUCACUCUAGGGUUGCUCAAGGUUCAUUUGGAAAGUUAUCCUAUUUUUGAAUGUUUUCUUUUAUUUAUUUAAACCGGUUCAUCUUCCAAAUUUUGUUUCCAUAUACAAUCAGCAACAUAUGAUAUUGAGAAUUUAGCAGUAAUUCAACCAUGUCAUGACUAAGUUACUGUAAAAAUUUGGGAUCCAUUGGACUAGUACAAAAAUAAUUAAAAUUGUUUCAUUACCCUAAGGUAGCAUGUACCUAACCAUUUUUAUCUCAAAAUAUACAGUGAUUCUGAGGGUGAACCUUUAGCAGUGGGUUAAAUGUGUAUGAUAGAGACUUUAGUGAAGCUUUCAUGAUUUUUUAGUGAAGGACAUCUAUUUUCCAUAUUUUUCCUUCAUUUAAAUUUGUACAAAAUGUUAAGCAUGUUUCACUCGGUCUCUAGCAGUAACCGUUAUUUUUCCUAGCACCAUCUGACUGAAACAAAGCUAAUAAAAGUGGUUUUGCUAUUUUACCAUUUUUCUAUGAUUUAUUAUGCAUUUAAUGGCUUAAACAAGAAAUAAAUGAUAAGUAAAACAUUUCUACAGUAACAUGUGCAAGAUUAUUUCUCUAUGAAACUACACAUUUCACUGAGUUCAACAGAGUUGAUUUUGCAUUUUUUUUGAUUUUUCUAAAAUUUUUUGUGCUUCUCCAAAAUUUAGUUCAUUUAAAUCCAUUUUACAUAUAGGUCCUAGGACUUUUCAAAUAUUCACAGAUCUACCCUCGGGUUCUACAACUAGGCCCCUGCAACUUCUAAAACUCCUCAAAUCGGUCCUGUGAUCUAGGGCUUGAUCGCGGGAAAAAGGGGUUGGGGGUGCGGGUGUGCUCACCGCAGGGAGCUUGGCAGAGUUUGGGCGGCAGUGGAGGCGAAACGACGGCGAACAGCCAUGUGGAAGACUUCGUGGGCAGCAGCGCGGAGCUCCGGUGUUUCGGCGCCGGCGGGCUUCCUGGCGGCCAACGGUGGGCUGAGCUUCGUGUGGUUGCUGCGGAGCUAGCGGGGGCAGUGGCGAGCGGUGGGGCGGUGCGAGGCAGUGAGCUCCACAACGAGGCGGUGCUGCAGUAGAGCUUUGCUGGAGCUUGGGCGUUCGCGCGUGCGAGGGAAGGAGCAGGUGGUGCAAUUGCUCCUUUUAUAGGAUAGGGGACGAGCUGCGGGGUGGCGUGGAGCCAGCGGAGGCGAGCUGCAUGGCUGAAGCGGAGUGGGGGAACAGCUGGUCGGGACGCCAUUGGCGGGCGGAGGACGAGCUCAGGGGCAAAGAUCCUCAGGCCAUUGGCUUGGCGGGAUACGGGGCGUGCAGAAGCCUCUUUAUUGGGCGGACGGAUUGGCGAAGGUGGCUCGCGUCUAGUCACAUCAUGGCAAUGGUUGGCGGAGCAGAGCUCGCCGGUGAGGGGUGACGGCGUGGUGCACACGGAGGGUGCGAAGCUUGCGCGGGAUAGGGCAAAAGGAUCACGGGCAGAGGAUAGGAUCAGCUCCUGAGGGUAUUGGGGACGACGGCACGUCGUCUUGUCCCAUCGCGCCGGGGAUAGGGCGAGCGGAGCUCACCGGUGGCGCUGGGCCAUGCGGCGGCGACGUGCUGGAGCAUGCGGCGCGCGCUCUGGCGAAAGGGGUGCGACGUGGUUCAGGCGAAGGGGUGAUAUUGUUGGAGGUAUGCCCUAGAGGCAAUCAUAGAGAUGAUGAUAUUCCAUUUGUAUCCAUGAUUUGUAAAUUGUGUUCAUUGAAUAUCCAUUAAAGGCUACUUGAAUUGAUUUGCAAUUAUGUGAAUUGUAUGUGAAACUCUUUACUUGUAUGGUUGUUCUAAAGUUGUCGCUAGUCGGAGUUCAUGUGAGGACACACAUGAAUAUUAGACUAGCACAUGUAUAAGUUGAUGACUAUGUUUCACAAGUCAUGGACAUGAAGAUGUUGAACUAAUAAUGUGGACACAUAUGGAGACAUGUGUUAGGACUGACCCAACACGAGAAGUAGUUCUCUCUUUAAAACAACAUAUACGCUUUGUCCUUAGACCUGAGAUUGUCGCAUGUAUUCUAGAUGUGGAUCGACCUACUUAGGGGCUAUCAAACGCUACGCCGUAACAGGGUAGUUAUAAAGAUAGUUUUCGGGUUUGUCAAGAAGCAUGCUAUGAGACAUGGUCAAUCAAGAUGGGAUUUGCCCCUCUCUGAUUGAGAGUGAUAUCUCUGGGCCCCUCGAGUGAUCGGAUCCGAAAAUGCAUGGCCAUGCUACGUACGGUUAAGAGUUAACCUACAAAGGGAUUCUGAAUCACAGGAUCGAGAAAGAGCGGUCGGCUUGAAGCUAGACCAAAUAUCGUGAGGCAAAGGGAAUAGCAUGUAUAUUAUGUUGUGAUGGUUCGUCUGAUAUGAUCUUCGUGUGCGUAUAGGAGUUGGUACGUCUUGCUAAAGGCCGCUACCGACUAUUGGGCCGAGUAGGAGUACUCGGGCCAUGUCUAUACGUAUCCGAACCCAAAGGGUCGCACACUUAAGGGGCUGGAAGCCCAAUUCGGAUUUGAUCCGAGUUGGAUUAGGUUUAGGAGUACUAAUGGGCCUCGGAUCCAGAGGCCCAUCAGGAACCUCUAUAAAUAGAGGGGUGGGGGCGCCCUAGGGUUUACACCUUUUUGGCGAAACACACUUGCCGCGCCUCCCACGCCCUCGCCUGUUGCAACUCGUGGAUCUAGCAAUCCGGCUUGCGACGCUUCCUCCCUGCACGUGUGGAUACCUUGGAGGUGUUGCGCCUGCAGCACUUGGACGAGCCAUCGACGAGCCGCCGACGAGCCACGACGAGCCGACGACGAGCCGCGGCACCGGAGGCGAUCUUGCUGCACGUGGACGAGCUGCUGAGCAGCUGCUAGACGUGAUCGACUACGUACGACUACGUGAUCGUCUUCACUGCACCGACGCAUAUCUACAUCUUCCGCACCAGUAGUGCGUCGAGUGGUAAUCCCGUGAUCCUUAUACGGCAGUUCUUCCUGGUUAUACGCAGUAGAAAAUUUUGAUUUGCGCUAGCGUAGCCUGCAUACUCCUACCGGUCGGUUUCCGCCAUCGGAGUUAAGUGAUACACGUAAAUCCAGUUGCAGUGAGGGAAGAUCAAUAUGAUUGGUCAAAUCGAAAUCCAGGGUCAUACGCCAGGCACAUUAGAUGUGCAAUAGUAGAUGGGAUCUACUGCCGGGGUCGGGAUUUUGCCGUAUGCGUAUGCUUCGGUAAAUCAGCCGUAACUUUUCGGUACUAUCUCGGAUCGGGGUGAUUUUUAUACGAAAAUUGAUCUACAGAAAAAGUUACACAUGAAUUUCAACAACUUCGCCGUUUUCGGUGAAAUUAGAUUUCCCAAAUUCGGCUUGGAAGAUGGAGUUUCGGGCCUCCGAAGUUUGGAACGUUAGGACGCCUAACUCUGUUUUGCAGGAUGUAUGCAUGUAUCUUGUGAUCAGUAUGGCCCCUUGUGUAUGUGAUGCAUGUGUGUAACUCAUUCGUGACCUGCGUGUCGCGCGUACGGCAACACGGCAGGAGCCAUAUGUGUUGUCACUUUAUUGUAUUUAAUGGUUUGCGUACCAAUCUGUGAUGAUCCAAGCAACUAUGUAAUCUUCAUUACUAGAUUCUUUACUAGCUAUUAGGCGUAAUAGCAUGCUCUAGUUCUUGGAGGACUCAUCACUAGGAGGAUGGCGCACAUGGAACAUGGAGAUGGAGAUCACCAUGGUGAACAGGUUCUAUGGAGAUGGAGAUCACCAUAUGAAAACGGGCCAUACUGUGUCACAAGCUGUGUGAAUGCUAUUCUAUUCUAUUUAUGUUUUACUUUCAGCAUGCUGUGAUGUUAGAAGUAGAACGAUCCCUCACAAAGUUUAAGUUAGUAUGCCCUCCCAACUAAAACUUGCACCGUCCCAUGUCUUGUACAAUUAGUGGUGGAUCUAUGAAAUUAGAGUGCCACUAGUUUUCCUUGACUAGACGGGUUUGUGUCGGACACUUACACGCAUAAGGGUUGGUUUACUUAACAAGGUUAUCUUAACGGUUAAGGACCUUGGGGCAUAAAGGUUGGGCGCCGAGACAUAGAGAUGUCACCCAACAACAGGAGUCAUAUGUGAUAUGAUUAGCAAAAGUUUGCUUACCGAUCUACCUCGUUUGCUAGCGGUGAUGCUAAAGCUCACUAGUAGACUUGUUAGUUGUGGAUCCUGAAUCACUAAGUUUCAAUAGAGGGAUAUUGAUUUUAGUGGGAGUAGAUUCUGUUAAAAUAGUUUAAUGUAAUUUACUCUAUCAUGGAUACGUUUGUCUUAGUGUAUUUUGCAUUACUUUUGUUGUAGAUUAAAUGGCACCUAGCAACACCACCACAUCGUUUGCUUUGCGUUCGGUCCUUGAGAAGGAGAAGUUGAAUGGAACAAACUACUCGGAUUGGAUCCGCAACCUGAGAAUUGUUCUCAGGGCUGAGAAAAAGGAAGAUGUUCUAGACAACCCACUACCAGAAGAACCUGCUGAGGAUGCACCCGCUGCUGCUAAGAAUGCUUACAAGAAAGCAUGUGAUGCUAACCUCGAAGUAAGCUGCCUUAUGCUUGCUUGCAUGGAACCCGAGCUGCAGAUGCAGUUCAAAACAAACCAUGAGGCGCACGAUAUGAUCGUGGCGCUUAGAGACAUGUUUCAAACACAGGCCAGGACUGAAAGGUUCAAUGUGUCUAAGGCCUUUGUUGAGAGCAAGCUAGCAGAAGGCGCAGCAGUAGGACCACACGUAAUCAAGAUGGUUGGUUACACUCAACGGUUGGAGAAGCUAGGCUUCCCACUGGGCCAAGAGUUGGCCACUGAUUUCAUUCUUUCGUCUCUUCCGCCUAGCUAUGGGAACUUCAUCUCGAACUACCAUAUGCAUGGGACGGAGAAGGGCCUGAAUGAGCUGUGUGGUAUGCUCAAGACAGCAGAGGCUGACAUCAAGAAAAGCGCUAGUACCAGCCAUGUGAUGGCGAUACAGAACAAGCCCAGCUUUAAGAAGAAGGGCAAUUCUUGGAAGAAGAAGGGCAAGGCUGGAACGUCCAAGCCAAACCCACCGCCCAAGGUUAAAGCUGGACCUGGACCUGCUCCAGACAAAGAGUGUUUUUACUGUCAUGAACUUGGUCACUGGAAGAGAAACUGCAAGCAGUACCUAGCUUCCUUGAAGAAUGGCGGAAGUAAGAGUACUUCUACCUCAGGUACGCUUGUUGUUAAUGUUAUAGACAACAUAUUUCUCGCUGAUACAAUUAUUAAUUCUUGGGUAUUUGAUACCGGAUCGGUUGCUCAUAUUUGCAAUUCGAUGCAGGGAAUGAUAAGAAGUAGAAGCGUGGAAAGAGGAGAAGUUGAUUUCCGCGUGGGCAAUAAUGCAAGAGUUGCUGCUUUGACCGUCGGGACGAUGCAACUCCACCUCCCGUCAGGAUUUAUUAUGGAGUUGAAUAAUUGUUAUUUUGUUCCUAGUUUAAGUCGAAACAUUUUAUCUCCUUCAUGCUUGAUGAAGGAUGGUUAUUCAUUUGCGAGUGAAAACAAUGGUUGUGUGAUCUCUAAGAAUAAUAUGUUUAUGGCUUUUGCACCCAUUGUGAAUGGAUUAUUUGUUUUAAAUCUUGAUGGUUCACCUGUCUGUAAUGUAAGUGCUAAAAGGCCUCGGCCUAAUGAUUUGAGUCCUACCUACUUGUGGCAUUGUCGUUUGGGUCAUAUAAGUGAAAACCGCAUGAAGAAGCUCCAUUCUGAUGGACUUCUAACUUCGUUUGAUUUUGAAUCAUACGAGACAUGCGAGGCUUGCUUGCUAGGCAAGAUGACCAAGACGCCUUUCACAGGAUUUCCUGAGAGAGCAGUAGACUUGUUGGAACUCGUACAUAGUGAUGUAUGCGGACCAAUGAGCACGACGGCUAGAGGAGGAUUCCAAUACUUCAUAACUUUCACUGAUGAUUUUAGUAGAUAUGGCUAUGUCUACUUAAUGAGGCACAAGUCUGAAACCUUUGAAAAGUUCAAGGAAUUUCAGAAUGAAGUUGAAAAUCAGCUUGGCAAGAAAAUUAAAGCCUUGCGAUCUGAUCGUGGAGGCGAGUAUUUGAGCCACGAGUUUAGCAAUCAUCUAAAGAGUUGCGGAAUUGUUCCACAACUUACGCCGCCUGGAACACCUCAGAGAAACGGUGUGUCCGAGCGACGUAAUCGAACUUUGUUAGACAUGGUUCGAUCAAUGAUGAGCCAGUCGGACCUACCGUUGUCAUUUUGGGGAUACGCUCUAGAAACAGCAGCUUUCACACUAAAUAGGGUACCAUCUAAAUCCGUAGUUAAGACACCAUAUGAGAUAUGGACUGGAAAGGUUCCUAGUUUGUCUUUUCUAAAGAUUUGGGGAUGUGAAGUGUUUGUCAAGCGACUUCAGUCGGACAAGAUGACACCCAAGUCGAAUAAGUGCAUUUUCGUGGGAUAUCCAAAGGAAACUUUGGGAUAUUAUUUCUACAACCGAUCAGAAGGCAAAGUGUUUGUCGCUCGGAACGGGGUUUUCCUAGAGAAAGAGUUUCUCAAAGGAGAAAAGAGUGGAAAGACAGUGCAUCUUGAAGAAGUUCAAGAUGAGCCAAUCGGGCAAGAAUCAAUGAGUGAUGCUAACGUAGCAGAACAAGUUGAGAUACCCAUGGCAAGAGAAGCACCGCCACAACCACGAAGGUCAGCAAGGCUCCGCGAAAUGCGAGAAAUAUUAUUGUUGGACAAUGAUGAGCCUGCGACAUAUGCAGAAGCAAUGAUGGACCCAGACUUCGAAAAAUGGCAGAGUGCCAUGCAAUCCGAAAUAGACUCCAUGAGAGACAAUCAAGUUUGGAACUUGGUUGACCCGCCUGAUGGUGUUAAAGCCAUAGAGUGCAAGUGGAUCUAUAAAAAGAAAAAGGACAUGGAUGGAAAUGUUCACAUCUAUAAAGCACGACUUGUCGCAAAAGGUUUUCGACAAGUUCAAGGUGUUGACUACGACGAGACCUUCUCGCCUGUAGUGAUGCUUAAGUCCAUUCGGAUUAUUCUAGCUAUAGCUGCAUAUUUCGAUUAUGAGAUAUGGCAGAUGGAUGUCAAGACAGCUUUCCUGAAUGGAAACUUAGCUGAGGAUGUGUAUAUGAUACAGCCCGAAGGUUUUGUCGAUCCGAAAAAUGCUGGAAAGGUAUGCAAGCUUCAGAGAUCCAUUUAUGGAUUGAAGCAAGCAUCUAGGAGUUGGAACAUUCGUUUUGAUGAAGUGGUCAAAGGGUUUGACUUCACCAAGAACGAAGAAGAGUCUUGUGUUUACAAGAAGGUUAGUGGGAGCUCUGUAGUAUUUCUAAUCUUAUAUGUGGAUGACAUAUUACUGAUUGGAAAUAACAUUCCUAUGCUUGAGUCUGUAAAGACUUCACUGAAAAAUAGUUUUUCGAUGAAGGACUUUGGGGAAGCGGCAUAUAUUCUGGGCAUUAAGAUCUAUAGAGAUAGAUCAAGAAGGCUUAUAGGUUUGAGCCAAGAUACUUAUAUUGACAAAGUGUUGAAGCGGUUCAGCAUGGAAGAGGCAAAGAAAGGGUUCUUGCCUAUGUCACAUGGCAUACAUCUCAGCAAGACUCAGUGUCUUUCGACUGCUGAUGAGCGGGAUCGCAUGAGUAGAGUGCCAUAUGCCUCGGCUAUUGGAUCUAUCAUGUAUGCAAUGAUAAGUACUCGCCCAGAUGUUUCAUAUGCGCUAAGUAUGACAAGCAGACACCAAUCUGAUCCAGGUGCGAGUCACUGGACAGCGGUGAAAAACAUUCUUAAGUACUUGAGAAGGACUAAAGAUAUGUUCCUCGUCUAUGGAGGUCAGGAGGAGUUCGUUGUAACAGGUUACACCGAUGCUAGUUUCCAAACCGACAGAGAUGAUUCAAAGUCACAAUCAGGAUUUGUGUUCACGCUAAAUGGUGGUGCUGUUAGUUGGAAGAGUUCCAAGCAGGAGACGGUGGCCGAUUCUACGACAGAAGCCGAGUACAUCGUGGCUUCGGAAGCCGCGAAGGAAGGUGUUUGGAUAAGGAAUUUCCUCAUUGAGCUUGGUGUGUUCCCGAAUGCGUCCAGCCCAUUGAAUCUCUACUGUGAUAACAAUGGGGCAAUUGCGCAAGCAAAGGAGCCAAGGAACCACCAGAAGAACAAACACGUAAUGCUGCGAUUUCAUCUCAUUCGAGACUUUGUUAACCGGGGUGAGAUCAAGAUAUGCAAAAUACACACGGAUCUGAACAUUUCUGAUCCGUUGACAAAACCACUCCCGCAGGCUAAGCAUGAUACGCAUGUAAGAGCUAUGGGUAUUAGGUACCUUCUAGAUUGACUCUAGUGCAAGUGGGAGACUGUUGGAGGUAUGCCCUAGAGGCAAUCAUAGAGAUGAUGAUAUUCCAUUUGUAUCCAUGAUUUGUAUAUUGUGUUCAUUGAAUAUCCAUUAAAGGCUACUUGAAUUGAUUUGCAAUUAUGUGAAUUGUAUGUGAAACUCUUUACUUGUAUGGUUGUUCUAAAGUUGUCCCUAGUUGGAGUUCAUGUGAGGACACACAUGAAUAUUAGACUAGCACAUGUAUAAGUUGAUGACUAUGUUUCACAAGUCAUGGACAUGAAGAUGUUGAACUAAUAAUGUGGACACAUGUGGAGACAUGUCUUAGGACUGACCCAACACGAGAAGUAGUUCUCUCUUUAAAACAACAUAUACGCUUUGUCCUUAGACCUGAGAUUGUCGCAUGUAUUCUAGAUGUGGAUCGACCUACUUAGGGGCUAUCAAACGCUACGCCGUAACAGGGUAGUUAUAAAGAUAGUUUUCGGAUUUGUCAAGAAGCAUGCUAUGAGACAUGGUCAAUCAAGAUGGGAUUUGCCCCUCUCUGAUUGAGAGUGAUAUCUCUGGGCCCCUCGAGUGAUCGGAUCCGAAAAUACAUGGCCAUGCUACGUACGGUUAAGAGUUAACCUACAAAGGGAUUCCGAAUCACAGGAUCGAGAAAGAGCGGUCGGCUUGAAGCUAGACCAAAUAUCGUGAGGCAAAGGGAAUAGCAUGUAUAUUAUGUUGUGAUGGUUCGUCUGAUAUGAUCUUCGUGUGCGUAUAGGAGUUGGUACGUUUGCUAGAGGCCGCUACCGACUAUUGGGCCGAGUAGGAGUACUCGGGCCAUGUCUAUACGUAUCCGAACCCAAAGGGUCGCACACUUAAAGGGCUGGAAGCCCAAUUCGGAUUUGAUCCGAGUUGGAUUAGGUUUAGGAGUACUAAUGGGCCUCGGAUCCAGAGGCCCAUCAGGAACCUCUAUAAAUAGAGGGGUGGGGGCGCCCUAGGGUUUACACCUUUUUGGCGAAACACACUUGCCGCGCCUCCCACGCCCUCGCCUGUUGCAACUCGCGGAUCUAGCAAUCCGGCUUGCGACGCUUCCUCCCUGCACGUGUGGAUACCUUGGAGGUGUUGCGCCUGCAGCACUUGGACGAGCCAUCGACGAGCCGCCGACGAGCCACGACGAGCCGACGACGAGCCGCGGCACCGGAGGCGAUCUUGCUGCACGUGGACGAGCUGCUGAGGAGCUGCUGGACGUGAUCAACUACGUACGACUACGUGAUCGUCUUCACUGCACCGACGCAUAUCUACAUCUUCCGCACCAGUAGUGCGUCGAGUGGUAAUCCCGUGAUCCUUAUACGGCAGUUCUUCCUGGUUAUACGCGGUAGAAAAUUUUGAUUUGCGCUAGCGUAGCCUACCUCGUAUCCCAACAGAUAUUUGGACAGGGUUUAUUUGAAAUUUUUUUCAACUAAACUUGAACUUUGGCCUUUCUAUGAUUUUUUAUUCACAGGUCAGGCUUCAACUUCUAAAAAAAGGUUGGGUCCAAAAUUGAGCUACAUUUGAAAAUACAAGGCUUCAAAAUUUGGUGGAACGCCUGGACUUCAGAAUCGAGCUACAAUUGAGUUUGAGCUGAGUUUGACCGUUUUGGCUUGUUUUGACUCAAGUUUUGGAAAGGUUCAAUUGAGAUUUGAUCCUGGGUCAAAUAAGUGAAUUUGUAGUAGACUUGUAGCACUCAAAUUUUUAUAAAGGGUUUGACUCGAGUUUGUAUCUAAAUUUGUGAGAAACAGAGCUGCCAUGUUGAGGAUUUUCACUGUUUUUAGCACUAAGCAAAGCUAAUUUUGCUAGGGUUGUUAUAGUUGAUAGAAGAGAAAGGUGCACAGUUGUAAGGUGGAGUCACGGAGUUGGAAAUUGCGGGGAUAGCAAUGUUUCUUCGGGCAGCUCUUGAAAGAGCGGCAAAGGCGACAACUCAAGUCUGCUGUACAUGGAGGUUCGCGCAUUGACGGCUUCAAGAUGGUGGAAUAUUCGCCAAGGUGGAGUUUGUUAGUGUUGAAUAUUUGUACGAGUCCGGUUAUGAUGUGACUUGAGUUGUGUUUAGCAGUAUAUGGUAAAGUCCGUGUCAUACUCUGUAACCUGAGCCUCGUAAAUAUGAGAGGAGGACUGCUAUUGUAACCAUGAUGACAUUGCGGCAGGCUCACAGGGGAAGGUGGCACGAUGCUGGGACCCCGGAGCGACCGAUGUUGCAGUAUUUGGAAGGAGCGCUCGUAGUCAUACCCUGGGGAUAUAGGCUUAGGCUGAACCUUGUCAACAAAAAUCGUGUCUCCGUUGUCGUCUGUGAUCGUACAACUUCAUCUCGAUAGAUCCAAUCAAUGCUUUUACUGGUGGAGAUUAGUGGGCGGAUCUUGGUUGUGAGGGUUAAUUUUCUAACCUGGUUGCCUUGCACUGUUCGGCCGAUCGAUCUCUGCACUUUAUGAAUACUAGGCAUCAGGGUAGCAGGCAAUGAGUUUUUCAGCUACUACUCUUCAGUUGCUCGCAUUGGCGAUAGGACAGUGCACAGUAUUCCCGUACCAGAAUUGAUUGUCGCUGACACGCUGAUAGUUCAGGUGACCAUAAAGCAGUUAUUACCUCGUUCAAUUUUGUGGGCGCCAUAAAAAAUUGAAAUUCCCACUGACCUCGAGGGGCAAAGGAGAACCGAGUGUCAGUUCUUUGCGUGGACAUUCUUGCUAAAGAAAAAAAUCCUGACGGCAAACAACUUUCAAAAUAUGGAUGGACUCAUAGCCCAAUGUGUAGCCUUUGUAAUAUACAUUCCGAUACGCCCAAACAUCUUUACAAGGAUUUUUCCUUCGCAAAUAAAGGAGUAUAUAUGUAUGACCCUGGCGCGAUGGUUAGAAUUAUCUAACGUAACUGAAAGGACCAAGAUAACUAAAAGGCGGCAAAUUAGGUUUCUAUAAAUUUUUCUUAUCAAAAUUGAAGUUACUAGCCUAAUCACCUCAAGAGCAACUCUAAGAGUCUACCAAAAAAUUCUCCCCCAAAACUAUCUAUUUGGGACUCUACUAAAAAUUUAUUUUCCUAAAAUCAUGUCGUACCACGGCAGAUCCCAAAUAAUAAACGUCUAAAUACUUCAAAACUGGUCAUGUCAGCACGUGAACUCCUCUGUUAGCUCUGGCAGCUUCCCCCUCCGACCUUUCCUGCAUCAGCUUCCUAGCGCCCACUGUCUGGGUGGGGUCGGAGUACCACCAGAGACGUUGUGUAGUCAGAGAGCAGAGGAGCUGGAGGAGGCGGUGUGGCGGAGAAGGAUGCCGCGGAGCGCGCCGCAGCAGGCAGAGCUGGAUGCGGAGAGCAAUUUUCGAAUCAACAACAUGCCAACCUACUGUGCAGUUACAACUAUGGCAAUUCAUCGAACAGUUCGUGAGCAAGAACUGUAACUUGUAAGCACACAUUUAUGGAAUAAUUCAGUGUAAGAGGCAGUUGAUCGAACAGGUAAUAAGAGGGAUCUGGCAGCUCGGAGUACUGAAUACUGACCCGGAACGCGGCGUCGUGGUUGCGGAUGUGGAGGCAAUGGACGGCGACGUAGGUGGCGUCGUCCUGGGUGAUCCACUUGCGCUGGGCGUUGAGGAUGCGGGUGAAGGUGGAGUGCUUGUAGGCGGGGAGCUCCUUGCAGAGCCAAGCGAUCCUUGACAGCCGCCACUGCUCCAGCAGCUCCUCGAGCUCGAACACCUGCAGCUAGGGGGACCUCACCGAGAGUCGGCCCCCGCCGCAAACGCCUCGCCCUGGAACAGGCCCGCCCCGGCCUCCUCCUCCACCUCCGCUUCCUCGUCCCCGUUGUCAGACUCCAGCACGAGGGCGUCCAGCGCUGAGGCUGCCCUUGGACGCGAGACGGCGAGACGGCGCGCGAGAAGCGGCGAUGCGGCAAGGCGGACGGCGGGAGGAAAGGAAACGAAGGGGAACGACAGGGUGAGAGGGCAUCGCAGAGACAGGAAUGGAGCGCCGCAGGCACAGGGAGGGGCGGCGGUCGAGGCCAUGAACAAAUCGACACCGAGCACCAGAAGCUCCGCUACGCACCAGUCACCGCUGCACGCGCCGGAAAUUCCGAGGACGACCGGUUCGGGAGUGAUCAGGGAAGGAUCGUGGCCUUCGUGGGGCGACGUAGGUGUUUUUUUCACCCACGUAAAGAUUUUUUUUAUUUUCCCUAAAUAAGAUUUUAGGGUAAUUUUAAAGAAGCUUUUGGAGUUGCUCUAAGAAGUUUUGAUGUCUUAGCUACAUAUUUCUGGAACAUGUACCUAUCUUUAUAAUACUUGUGGUCCGAUGAGGAUGACUGAAAGCUGGAAAUGUAUCAUCCAUUAUUAGAAAAGGUAUUGAAAUUGCAUAAUACAAGGAGAGUUAGAAAAGCUGAUUUUUUUUCUAAGGUAUCAAAGAGUCGACAAUUACUCCUAGUCCUUGAUACAUGCAAGGACAAGUUCUCUAAUAGAUAUCCAUUCUUCAUCUCUGCAACGGAUAUAUCCCAAAUAGUAUACAACCUUCUUGGCACUCCCACAAAGGCUCCUUCUUGAGGACUUACGAAAACAACCCACUAAGUUGUUUAGGUGAUGCCCAUGACGACCUAGAGUAAGACAUGAUAUAAAGUCAAAGUAACGGGUGGAUGCACACACUUGAUACUCUCUGAGCGCUCCUGAUAUGAUAUUCUUAAUCUUCAUUUAAGGAACUCCAAUAUCCUUGCAAGUGCUUCUCUUCCUAUUGACCUUGAAAUAUGGCUAUGAACUUCGUGGUGUAAGAUAGCUGAAAAGCUAGCGGUGGUGCAAGCAGAUAGCUAUGAACUUCGGAGGUUAUGAACAUGUAUUUAUCACACUUCCGAAAAGCUAGCCGUUGCUCCAUAUUUAGCACUCCAUCCAUUCAAUAUUGUAGAUUGUUUUGAUUUUUGUAUAUAUAUGUGAUUCGGAAUGUAUCUAGAUAUAUCUAGUAGAUGCAUGGUAAAAAUCAUGUAUAUAGAAAACUCAAAUGACCUAUUUUGAAACGGAGGGACUAUUCGCAAAGAAGCCGGACUGAUUCAGUCCCUCCCAGCAAGCAGGACCCUUUUCUUUGGUUUGUACGUUGUGGUGCUGCUCCCUUUUCUGUUUUUCGUAACAGUAGUACCCGGCGGUUUGCUCUCUUUGCUGUUUUUGCUUUCUAUACUAGUAAUGCCCCAGGAGGUUGUUUGGCUGCUGAAUUGUGAGUUGUAGCAUGUUUUUUUGGCUUUUGCUCUUUGUCUUAUUUCUUCUAAUAAAUUUCUCGGCAAAUAUAUUGCCGUAGUUUUCGUGAAAAAAAAUUCGACCAAGAUCUACAGUCUAACCACAUUUUUCCUAAAUCCUCCCACCAAGAAAAGAUUAAACAAUCACGAGCGAUGAUUGUUGUUCAAUUUGCUCCGCCAUGUUUCUGGAGGACAAUACUUUGGGAGUCCAUUUCCUCCAUAUUAUUACCGACAUCGAUGUUGUCUAAGAUCGCGGGGCUGCCUCGGAUCGUACAAGAUGAGCUGCUGCCUGGGCCUUGUCAUCCGCGUCCUGCAUUCUCGCAUUGAACAUGCGGAACUCAUAUCCGACGCCCGGAGCCUCACCUUCCAUCGGCUCCCAUCCACGUCCCCGGAGUCCCCGAGAGUGAACCCCUCGUGAUGCGCCACGUACUGCACGUCCACCACGCCCAUCUGCUCCUCUGGAUCCUGCAAAUUCAAAUUUUGGUUUAAGCGAUCAACGGAAGUUCAGAUCAGCAGAGGAUAUCAUUGAGGAGGGCGAGUUCGAUCGUACAUCGACGCAUCUCCAGAAAUUCCAGUCAAGCCCCCAGCCAUGAACCAGGUCACUCUGGAUCAUGUGCCAGACGCAUGUCCAUGCCUCCCUCGAGAAGACGGGCGAGUUCACCUCCACGAACCCGCUGCACGGCCGCCUAUGCACGUCCGUACCGCACCCCCCUGCAGACGUCGAUCUAUGCAUAGAUAUUAACAAUCCCAGUUCAAUUGCAUGGAUCUAUGAUGAGCAUAGAAUUGAAUAUCAGUAGCAAGCUGAAACUUACUUGUGCAUCUCGUUGUCGCUCACUCUGACGUUGAUGUCGUAGGUCUUCGCCCCCCCUGGUGAUGUCCAUGCCUGGCUGCGAGAUUUCCAGCCCGUGCUUCUUCACAAUCUUGAUGUACUCCUCCGUGUCGAAGGUCUCAGUGCCGAGGUCCUGGUCCCAGAUGAAGAUGUACUCAUACGGUGCGACGAUGCUAGGGUGCAGGAACCUCUUGGCAUACCACCGACGCCGCAUUCCGUUCCAACAUUAUUAACAAUCAUAUCAGAUGGAUAAACCUGCAUCUGUGGCAUUUGCAUAUAUGAUGGACAAAUGGUAGCUCCUCACCAUUUGGCCUGCUUCCUGGCGCUGACAUGGAUGGCCUGCUUGGACCAUUCGAACUCGUCCCACUCUGUUGUCCGUCCAUCGUAGUGAAAUAACAUAAUGUCGAAAUUUUCGGAGAACUGCAUGAUGCAUUAUUCGCAAGGACAAAUCCAUGAUAUCGUUGUGUUAAUUUAUGAGUGGUUAUUAAAAAUCUGGGAAAAAACAUCAAGAAAUUACUUCUCACUUUGUGAACCGUCGCAUUGACGUUGACUUUCUCACUGUAACCAACUGUCAGCGCCAAAAGAUACUUGCGAGUCGGCGUGUCCUGGUCAGUGAUGCCACAAGUUCAAUCAGCCAAAGGAAACAAUCAAUUCAAAAAGGUUCAGAGUUACGAAUGAAAGACUACUAAGAUCAGCGACCUCACGCGGGUCUCCCCACAGCCGGCGCAGGUGAAGAUCAGACUCUCGUACUACGAUAUUUGGCGGUAGCCUGUCCGCGCCUUUUGGCUUUGCCGGCGAAACAACAUUCUACAGCAUACCAUAUAAGAAAAAAAAGUAACAAUAUCAAGUGUGGAACGAGAAACUUAUUUAACUGGAUUCUUUCUGUUUCAGCAUGGAGAACCUGAGCAUCUAUAUAUCCAUAUAGAGGAAGCAUACCGGUAUAGGAUUAAAUUGUCAACAAGUUCAGAACGGUACCUCUGAAGUGGCAUUUGACAUCGGGAGUGGAGUCCCAUCCACAGUUGAAGCGUUGUUUCUGAAUGGCGUCGAGAAUCUGCCAAGUAUGUUGCUACGGGAGGUGCAGUUUCCAUCACCAAUGCUCGAUGGGAAUACUUUUGGUGUGAUUUGGACAGGAAAAGAAACCCCGAUGAUGAACCCAAUUGCUGCCGCGGUCAACACUGUAAGGACGGUAUUUGAUUUCAUUCUCGCUAUUCACUAGGAAGAUGAGAAGUACAUGUUAGUUUUACUAGUUCAAAAUAAAAGGUAGAUCAAUAGAGUAAAAGUUGAAUUUACAUGAAGGCUAAGGAUCCCAUUUUUAACUAACUAAGGAAAAAAGUAGAUGGAGUUUGCUUGUAGGAAACUAUCUCUUAGCAUCUGACACCUCCCGUUAUGCGCAACACUUCACCGUUUAAAGAACAACGUUGAUGAAUCUCGUUGUUCUUGAUACGGUACAAGCUCCUAUCAUACUCUCAAUGUCUAUUUAUGAUCCGGAGGUAGCUACGCAUUAGGAGUGGUAUUAGAUUCUAAGAAGUGGUAUUAGAGCGAAGGUCAAAUUGAUACGAUCUUGUGAGAAGGUUGGUAGUGCUAGGAAACAUAAAAUCAAGAUAAUGUCAAAAAUGUGAAAUUAAAUAGUGAAAUUUGAUGGCAAAGAAAAUUUUAGCGUAUGGCAGUGUGUGAGAUGUGCUUGUCGAACAAGUCUUAAUGCUCUUGAGGGUGCAUAGGACAAUACAACAACUGAAGAAUGGAAGGUAAUAGAGUGUAAAGUUGUCCUUACAAUUUGAUUAUAUCUCUCCUACGAGGUAAAGUACAUGGUAAUCAAAGAAAAUUCAUCUAAGAAAUUAUGAAAAAGCUUUGAAGCAAAGUCGCAGACAAAUCAGUGGGUGCUAAAGCAUCAACUAUUUAGGUUGCGCAUAGAGGGAGGAAGACGAUUCAUCGACCAUAAGAAUGUCUUCAACAAGCCUGCCAUGCAACUGAUUAAUGUUGAUGAGAAAAUUGAGGAGAACAAUAACGUCAUCAUACUAACUUUAUCCUUACCACCAUCACGGGAACAAUUGAUGAUGAAUAUUCUUAUCAGGAAAACUAUUCUCAACUUCAAUGAGACAGUUGCAUAUCUAUUAGAGGUGAAGUUCUUAAAGAUGCCAUAGGAAUCUUCAUCCUCAGUUGAUCAAGCAUUGGCUGUUUUAGUGGAGCAGGCAAAGUCAAGAAUCACGGGAAGAAGAAAGGCAAGAGCAGGGGCAGUCGUACAUGCUAUCUUUGUGAGAAGGAGGGUCACAUGAUAAAGGAUUGUCUAAGUUUGAGGACUAUGAGAGGAGUAUGCUUAGUGGCAAGUGAGGAUGAAAGUGAUGUACUUAUCAUCAAUUAACAUGGUAAUAUUCAUGUAAAUAAUAGUUUCAGGGAUAUGUUUCCCUAUAUAUUCUCUAAGGUAGAUAAUUGACGAAGAAUCUACACUCGGUGAAUGAAACUACUCACUUGGCCGAUUGCAAGGAGUAUGCAACUAUUCACUUGGUGGAUUGCAAGGAGCAUGUGGUCCUAAGGUGGCAACAAUUACAUUGGGGAUGCAUGAUGGAAUCGAUUGCACAUUGAUGGGAGUUUGAUAUAUCCUGGGUUUGAAAAAUAAUCUAGUAUCUGUGUGGUCACUAGAACUCCAAGGUUGUGACGUAUCACUUUGAGGUAGAGUCAUCCGAGUUACUUGCAAAGGGCAAGUAGUCAUGAAAAUUAUCUAGAUUAAUUAAUGGAGGAAAUCGAGUCAUAGGAAAUCUUAAAAGUGGUGCAACCAUUAGGAGAUUUGGUAAAAAUCUGAUCAGGAGAAGAAAGUCAUCUCGUCAGGUAAGUUGUAGUCAAGUGCAAGACUACAAAGGUGGUUGCAGAAUCUAACAGUCGUAGUGGCCUAGAAGGAAGACGUGACAGGCUGACCAUGCAGUAUCAGUGAGCAGGUGUGUCGGUAUUUUAUACCUUGCAACCUACGAAGGGGUAUCCCGAGGUAGUAGAUUUGUUGGUGGGGGAUCGCCGGACUUGGAACUUGAAGGUAAAAGUGAGGACACAAGACACGAAUAUUUACAGGUUCGGGCCGCUAGAGUAGUGUAAUACCCUACGUCCUGUUUGGGGUGUUGUAUAUUGCGCCAUGCGCUUGGGUAUUGGGGUAUGAGGAUUUGCCCUCAUGUUGUGCCUGCUGAUCAAGGUACCCCUGCCCUCCUUGAUCUGCUUCAUGGGGCGGGAUAACUAGUUGGUUACAAGGAGGAGUCAUAGUAGGAUUACGUGGUAUGAGUCCUAGUAGGAUUACAGAGAAAUCCUAGUAGGAGUCCGUCUUCUUCCUUCCUUACGGGUACUGGGGAUCUAUCCCCGAUAAGCCCCCGAGCGCUUCAUAGUCGAAUGCAGCAAUCUUUGAGUACUUUUCAGAUCCUCGCCGAGUAGUUUUAGUGCUCCUCGAGUAUUUUGUCUGGCUGAAUUUUCAAAGUUUCUUAAAGCUGCCAUGAGGCUAUGGUGUGCUUAAAGCCUUUGAUCAUCUUGAUUCUGUAAUCUUCAUAUAUGGAGGGCGACGAAAGUCGCACUCCAUAUGGAGUAACCCUCGAGCCUUAGAUUGAAUUGUAGAAUUAGGCUGAGGGUCAAUAAAAUCUUGAAUUUUCUUCUUUCAAUUUGAAAAAAUCAAUUAUUGGGUGUAGCUUAGCCCUCGAGCCUUGAAAUGAUUGAAUAAUCAAUUCAAGGAUCUUGAAUAUUCACGCAAGUCAUCAUCCGAGUAGUUUUGCGACAUCCAGCCCCCGAGCUUAUGCGCCAGGUGAGCCGUGUAAGCCACGUCGAAUAGUUAUUGGCGCUUAGCCCUUGAACUUGGAAGCUAGCUGAGCCAUUGGAGAUAUUCCGAAUAGUAAUUGGUGUUUAGCCUCCGAGCUUGGGAACUAGCUAUGCCUUUGGAGGUACGCUUAGCAUCCUAGAGCAUCGUCAUCGAAGCUUGAUCUGAAAGAAAAAGAUGCAUACAUUAUGUAGCAUAUUUGUAGAAUAUUGAAAACUACUGAAAUUUAUUCAGUGAUUAAUAUAAAUGUUUCGUGUCAUGCUCUUGUUUCGGCCAUAUUUCUUCCGAGUAGUUAGCCUAUUGCGUUUAGGCUCUCGGUCUUUGUUUAGCCGUAGCAACUGCGUGCCGAGAUCUUUGUCUCUUGUACGCGUACGGGCACUGCCGUUUGCACAGCUUAGAUCUUUUUCUCAUGUAUGUGUGCUAGCAUUUAGGCAUGACGGAUGAUCCAAGGCUUUCACGACUUAAGGCGUGUUCUGCUCGAGAAGAUUAGUGAACUUAAGAGAAGACAAAAAUUAGUAGUCGUCAUUGCGACAAAAAGAGUGCGCGAUUGCGUGCAAGAGUUUGCUGCUCUCCGGUGAGUAGAGCGCGUGCUGUGCGCAUAAGAUUUGUGCCUCCUUAAGGUGUAGCCGUUGUGAGCCUCCAAUAUUUAGUGCAUCAAAUUUGUGGCUAUUGCCUCCAAAAUUUAAUAUAUCAAACCCAUGGUGGUGCCUUCACAACUCAGUGUACCGGACCUAUGGCCGUAGCCUCCGUAAUUUGGUAUCCUAAAAGGGUCUAAUAGAGUUGUGAGAGAGUGACAAUCACUUGUAGUCUUUUGGAGUUGUGCUUUAAAAAAAUUUGCGAUCGGCUUUGCCAAAAUCCUAUACUUGUCACGAUUGCUCCAAUUCCAUGAUAUAGGGUUUGCUAUGAGAUUCAUCUACGUUGUUCUUAAUACGAAGCAAACUUUNNNNNNNNNNNNNNNNNNNNNNNNNNNNNNNNNNNNNNNNNNNNNNNNNNNNNNNNNNNNNNNNNNNNNNNNNNNNNNNNNNNNNNNNNNNNNNNNNNNNAGGAGCAGAUAUCAGGGACCUCACUAAUGUAGAAUGGGAAAGCAGAUAUAAACUAGAAACUGAGUUGGUGGAACUGUAUCACAAGGAAUAAGUGUUUUGGCAGAGAAGGGGUGGUGAGAGAUGGUUACUCGGAGGGGAUGCCAACACUGGAUACUUUCAUGUUGUCGCUAACAGGAGGAAAAGGAAAUGUACUAUCAAGAGCUUGGAGGAUGGACACAUGACAAUAACUGAAACACAACAAUUAAAGUAUCACAUAACAGGAUUCUGCUGAAAACUCUUCGGAGGAGAGGAAGAGCCUAAGAUGCGCCUACAAGAAUCCUUUUGUGACAGACGAAGAAGGGUGGGUGAAGCAGACAACGACCAGCUUACUAGACCUUUUACCAUGGAAGAAUUGGAAGGUGCGGUGAGAGAGAUGAAACCUGAUUCCGCCCCUAGCCUAGAUGGAUUUUCCACUCUUUUUCAAGGAAUUAUUGGGGCAGGUCCGGGAUGAUAUUCUUGAGAUGCCAUUUAGCUUACAUAAGGGGGAGCUGGACUUGCAAAGACUAAAUUAUGGGUGAUUGCCCUGAUCCCAAAGAUAAAAGGAGCAGUGAACACUGAAUAAUAUAGACCAAUUUGCCUCCUCAAUGUCAUCUACAAAAUUAUAACCGAAGUUUUGACUUGAGGUAACUAAGGUUGCUGCUCAGGUAGUUGGAGAGAGCCACACAACAUUCAUUCCUGGCAGGUACAUAUCAGAUGGAGUGCUGAUCCUGCAUGAGGUUUUGCAUGAUCUGAGAUCCAGGAAGAGACGGGGGGAGUGUCCUGAAGCUGGACAUUGAGAAAGCGUAUGCUAAGGCUAGUUUGAAUUUUUUGUAGGAGGUGAUGAAAAGGAAGAACUUCUCCGAACAAUGGAUACAAUGGACAAUGUCUGCGGUGACAGGAGGGAGAGUAGUGGUCAACCUUAAUGGAGAAAGAGGGGGGUUCUUUAGAAGUUACAAGGAGUUGAGGCAAGGGGACCUGCUAUCCUCAUUGCUUUUCAACCUGGAUGGAAAUGCAGUCUGAGAAAUGGUUAAGGACAACAAAGUGAUCACUGGAUUGGUUCCAGAACUAAUAGGAGGGCUCACACAUUUCCAAUAUGCUAAUGAUACUGUGAUUUUUCUAGAGAACAAUGCAGGAACCACAGCGUUGAUGAAAUUCCUGUUGUUUUGCUAUGAAGUGAUGUCUGGCAUGACAAUAAAUUACAAUAAAAGUGAAGUUUUUGUGGUGGGUGCUGAUAAGAACACUCAAGAGAAAAUAGCCAAAUGUUUUAACUAUGCUGUUGGAGUUUUACCCAUGAAGUACCUGGGGAUUCCGUUGAGUCAUGUGAAGCUAACUAAAACAGAGUUGAGUGAUCCACCUGCUAAAAUUGAGAACAAGCUGGCUACUUGGAAUUGCGGACAGCUUUCAUACUAGGGAAAAGGAAUUCUGUUGAAUACCAGCCUGACCAGCAUUCCAAUGUAUAUCAUGGGAUUUUAUCUGCUCCCAUCAAAGGAUUGACACGGCCAGAGCUAAAUUUUUCUAGCAGCGAGUGGGCAAGAAAUAGAAAUACCAUGCGGUAAAGUGGGAAGUGCUGAACAAGCCAAAAGAGUUUUGGGGAUCGGGCUUUAUAGACACCCAGGGCCAUGAACACUGCCCUGGUAUCAAAAUAGAUAUAUAGAUUUGGAGAGUGAGGAUCAGAGGAUAUGUAUUGGAUUGCAGAGGGAAGAAGUACCUAGGGGGACAAUGGCAUCUUGCCAUUUAGGGCGCGGGGGAGGGCGGGCCCACUUUAGAUUCAAUGGUAUUCAAUUGAAUACCCAUUAUUUUUGCAAAAACAUUUCAUAUAUAUAGUGUAUUUUAGGUAUAUGUAUGAAAAAAACAAAAAUACAGAAGUAUUUCACUCAAAAAGGCCCACCGGAGGCCAACUUUGCUCUCCCUCGACUAGCCCAACUGGCCCAUUCGGCCCAUCCGGCCUGCGCAUGCCCACUCGACUGCCCCCAGUCCCCCACCGGCCCACCCCACGCGUGAGCACAUUCACACGCACCACGGGCCACGGCUGCGCACGAUCCCUAGGGCGUCCGGCGGCGGCGGCAUCCGGCGGCGGUGGCAUCCGGCGGGAGGUCGCGGCUGGCGGGCUAGGAGGCGGCGGGUGGCCUGCGUGCGCCGCGCGGCCGCGCGCGCGGUUGGCGCCUGGUCGCCUGGAGCCGAGCGCAGCGGGCGACGGGCCGCCGGCGGCGGCGGCGGACCGGCAGUGGCGGCGGCGGUGCCCGGGCCCGGCGGUAGUCUGCGGCUCGCCGCUCAGCGACUGGCAGGCUAGGAGGGUCGAGGGCGGCUGGCGGCCUGCGCACACGGCCACACGCGCGGUUGGCGCCUGGAGCUGAGCGGAGGCGCCGGCGCGCCGCAGCGGCCGACCGCCGACGGGCACGGGGCACGGGCCGGCGGCAACGGGCGCGCAAGCGCAGCGCGCUACUGGUAGGCGGCUGGGCGCACCAGUGCGCCACGCUUCGGCCGUUCGGCGCCGCAGCUCGCCGGCUCCACCCUCCGCAAGUCCAGUCGGCCGAGCCCCUACUGUCUACUGAUUUGUGGAUUUUGUGAACUGCUAUUCCUGAUUGUUUGUGAAAUUGAGGUGAGCAUUUUCAAUUGUUUGUCAAAUUAGGAUAGCACAUCAACUUGCAAAAUGUGGAUGCUCAUGAAUUUAGUUCAACGUGAAAUUGUGUAACUUUUAGGUUUGAACCAUGAAGAGGAAGGGUAGUGCCGCUACUGAUUUGAGGAUUUUCAUGGCAAGGGCUGCUGCAAAGAAGAGACAACCUGAACCGGAGAAUGUUAAUCAAUCUUGCAAUUUAAGCCAAAUGCAACUAGUGUUAUUCCAAGGGCAGAGUGGUAGUAAAACAAGCACGGUACCACAUGAACCAGUGAGAUCCAACCAGCCUCCAGAGAACGGUACAACAGAAGAUGGUGAAUCCAUACCUGUGGAAGACAAUGAUUCUAGUGAUGAAGACAAGAAUGAUUAUGGCAUUGAGCAUGAUCCUGGAUUGAGGGCUCCGAUCUCAAGCUAUGAUGUCAAUGACCAAGAUUCAGUUAGAAGGGCAUACAUUGCAUUGGGGCCAUGUCAACCAAAGAUGAAGAGGGAUGCUUUUCCGCAACAUGAUUGUGGAGGUAUGCGCCGCUUCCAACAUAAGUGGUUUGCUGAAUUUAAGUGGAUUGAGUACAGUGUGGAUAAAGAUGCUGCAUUUUGCUUUGUUUGCUAUUUGUUCAAAGAUAGCUGCAAAUUUCCUGGUGGAGAUGCUUUUGUUGUUGAAGGGUUUAGAAAUUGGAAUAUGAAAAGGAGAAUUCAUAGGCAUGUUGGUGGUAUCGAUAGUGCUCAUAGUGAAGCUGAAGAGAAAUAUAGAUUGUUCACGAGACCUAAGGCAUCAAUCCGUGAAUCUGUUGCAUCAAACACUGCACAAUUCAAGGCUAAGUAUCUAGCUCGCUUGAUAUGGUCACUUAAGUGCAUAAGAUUUCUGUUGCGUCAAGGGUUGGCUUUUAGGGGUCAUGAUGAAACAAAGGAUUCACUCAACAAGGGGAAUUUUCGGGAAAUUUUAGCAUGGCUAGCAGGAAACUUUGAAGAGGUUAAUCUGGUGGUACUAGAGAAUGCACCACAAACUGUCAGAUGAUAGAUCACAAGAUCCAGAAACAACUCAUUGAUGCUUGUGCUCAUGAAACAACCAAAUUUAUCAUAGACGAACUUGGUGAUGAGUGUUUUGCAAUUCUUGCUGAUGAGUCAAGUGAUGCAUACCUAUUGGAACAAUUGGCUCUUUGUUUGCGUUUUGUCAAUAAAAAAGGAGAACGAGUUGAGCAGUUUCUAGGUCUUGUCCAAGUUGAAGAUACUACAUCAUUGACUCUUAAAGAAGCAAUUCAGUCCUUGCUUAUGAAAUAUCAAUUGCCCCUAUCCAAGGUACGUGGUCAAGGGUAUGAUGGAGCUAGUAAUAUGAAGGGUCAUGUUAAUGGUUUGAAGAAACUAAUUAUGGAUGAGUCCCCUUCUGCUUAUUAUGUUCAUUGCUUCGCCCAUCAACUUCAACUAACACUUGUAGCGGUUGUUAAGGAGAAUACUGAUUGUGAUUGGUUCUUUGGGCAACUUGCUUAUUUGUUGAAUGUUCUAGGGAUGUCUUGUAAAAAGAUCCGUAUGCUUCGCAUUGCUCAAGCUGAAUAUAUGAUUGAAGCAUUGAAAUUGGGUGAAAUUGAAACCGGGCAAGGAUUGAAUCAAGAGAUGGGCUUAGCAAGGCCAGGUGAUACACGAUGGGGAUCUCACUACAGAACUGUAAUGCAUGUUAUGUUCUUGUAUCCUUCAAUCAAGAAAGUUCUCUUUAGGAUUAGGAAUGAAAGUAAAGGGGCUGAGGCUAAUGGGGCUCAAACUAUGCUCACAGUAUUUAAGUCCUUUGAGUUUGUUUUCCUGCUACACUUGAUGAAUGAAAUAUUUGGAUACACCAAUGACUUGUGCAAUGCUUUGCAAAAGAGGGAGCAAGAUAUCGUAAAUGCAAUGGAUCUUCUGGAGUUUACAGAGGUAGAGCUGGAUGUUUUGAGACAAGAUUCUGGAUGGCAAGAAUUUCUUACCAAGGUCACUUCUUUUUGUGAGAAGCACAAUGUUAAAGUUGUUGACAUGAAUAUGGGAAGUAUAUUCCUAUGCAAAGAUCAAGGCAGUUCUACAGAGGUGCCAUUAAUUAUCACCGGUUUCAUGCUGAUAUGUUUUUGGGUGUCAUUGAUAGACAGGUUCAAGAGCUCAAUAAUAGGUUUGAUGAGGUAAACACAGAGCUACUUAGAUGCAUGGCAUCAUUCAGUCCAGCUAAUUCCUUUUCUGCUUUUAAUGUUGAGAACUUGGUUAAGCUUGCUGGGUUCUAUCCACAUGACUUUGAAUUUCAAUAAAUAAACCAGCUUCAUUUUCAGUUGCACCACUAUAUCAAUGAUGUAAGAAAUGAUGAAAACUUCAAAAAUUUGAGAAGUCUAGCAGAGUUGUCUAUGAUGCUAGUUAAAGAAGGAAAGGUUUCUCGGUAUGACAUUGUUUAUAAACUUCUCAAAUUGGUGCUUGUUCUCCCUGUUGCAACUGCUGGUGUUGAGAGGGUCUUUUCUAUAAUGAAUUUGAUAAAGAACAAGAGAAGAAGUAAGAUGGGGCAGAAAUAUUUGAAUGGUUGCUUGGUCACAUUGAUUGAAAGGGAAUUCUUCAUGCAAGCUAAGGAUAAGGACAUCAUCGCUCAUUUCCAAAGCAUUGCAGAACGGAAAGUUGUCCUAUAGCUUGUAAGUUAUAAUCUUUGUUACCAUUUUACUGUUUUAGCCUCUAUUUAUUUCACAUGUUGCCACUUUGAUAUGUUGAUCAUUAGUAGCUGGACAAUUUCAAUUUCUGAUAAAUUUUAUUAAUCAAUGAUGCUGCUACCACUUAAUUAUUAUGUGUUAUAAAACUAUAAUUUAGUCUGUCAUUUUUUUUCCUGCCAUCUUCAAUUUUGAAUACCCAUAGUCCAAAUCCUGCGCCCGCCACUGAGGGAGGAUCGCAAUUCUGGACAAGACUGAACAAGGUGAAGGAUUGGUACAAGUUUGGGAGAGUGAUUGUAAUUGGGGAUGGGAAAAGAACCAGAUUUUGGCAGAUGUUUGGAGCGGGCAGUAUGCAUUUAAAAUCUUAUACCCUCGGCUUUACAGAAUAUGCAGCGAAGCUGAUAUUUCGGUUGAGGAGCAUGAUGUGGAAGCACCGACUUUUAGAAGGGAUUUUGGAGAGGCAGGGGCGAGCUGCACGAGGCUCUGGAAAAUGUAGAGUUGACCGAUCAAAAAUACAUUGCGUCCUGGAAGCUGGAGAAAUAUGGACGCUAUUCCACAAGAUCCCUAUAAAGAUUGAUUAUUGAUCCAGGCUGUGUUGAGUUGAGAAUUACAGACAUAUGGAAUACUAGACUUGCAUUGAAGGUCAAGAUUUUCUUGUGGAUGCUAUGGAAAGACAAGAUUCAAACAGCUUUACAGUUGAAGAAGAGAAAUUUGGAUGGGCCUAUUCAUUGCAAACUCUCUGGUAAAGUAGAGGGGGUCAACCACUUAGUGUUUACCUUUGGUGGUUUUUGUGCGGUCCUGGGUAAGAGAUGCACUGGGCUGGGAUAGUACAUCCACAGGGCUGAGGCAAUUUGACGAAAAGUUUAAGUGGUAGUAUUGUGCAUUGUAAAAGAGCUCCAAACUGAAGGCUGGGCUGAUAUCGCUCCGAAAGAACUGAAGGUGGCCUGAGCUUUUCAAGUUCUGAUUCUACACUGUUUUUUUUCUUCUUCUUUCAAAUCUGUACGCUGUUGGGUCACUGUUUUAGAUGUCCCUCAGACCUGCGCCUUCAAUCUCUCAGUUUGUAAGGGUGUCAUGAGGGAGCGUGUUUUUUGAGUUUGCUUGUUACCUGGAGGGGGUCGUACCUUUUUUUAAGUUUCCUGUACGGGUGAUUUUAAGCUGGUGACUGCAGCAGGACUAAUGGCUGGGCUUUCAAUAAAAUCUGGACCAUCGGCCUUUUGUCUAAAAAGGUAUUUUGGAGGAUUGGAAUCAUAUAGGACAUUUUCCUACGAACACGUUUAGAAAAUAGCUUGUUCCAUUGGGAUUUUGGAAGAAUUUUACUGAACUUCAUGGAAAGUUUUCUUAGUGCCACUCUUUCAUAAAAUUCCUGUGUUGUCUUACACUCUAUCCAAACAUCCAUUCUUGCAUUUCUUGUGUUUCCUUAUCCCACAGGCCUCAAGGUAUCAUCAAGUUCUAUUUUUAUGUUUUUCCUAUUCAUACGUUUCUAGGGUCAUGUAUUCCACAUGGACCGGAAAUUGUAAGUGAUGAGGUGCUAUGGUUAUGAGUAGGGUAUUC
rnacentral:lncRNA from 1 species